rnacentral:rRNA from 1 species
CAGUCGCCGCGGGAAAACCGAGGGUGCAAGCGUUAAUCGGAGUUACUGGGCGUAAAGGGCGCGUAGGCGGUUAUAUAAGUGAGAUGUGAAAUCCCUGGGCUCAACCUAGGAACUGCAUCUUAUACUGUAUGGCUAGAGUAUUGUAGAGGGUAGUGGAAUUUCCGGUGUAGCGGUGAAAUGCGUAGAGAUCGGAAGGAACACCAGUGGCGAAGGCGGCUACCUGGACAAAUACUGACGCUGAGGCGCGAAAGCGUGGGGAGCAAACAGGAUUAGAUACCCCCGUAGUCCCUGUCUCUUAUAC